AGUCUCCUGGCUUGGACUCUUGACUGACUCAUCACUGUCUGGGGACUUUGUGGAAGUCAUUUAACCUCACAAUGAUGGCUCCUCCUCAUCAGACUGGAAGAGAAGGUGGCCUCAACCAGAGGGCUGCUGAUGGGUUAUUGUGAUAAUCUGGCUGAGGCGGUGCAUGUAAACACUCACCAAGGGUCUGAUGUCUAUUAAGGGCUCAGAAGUAGUCAUUCUACUGAACUAGCUGUACGUGUAAGAUGACAUUCAACCUAGGGGCACAGGGGGCACUGUGGGUCCUGGUUUGGGGACCCUAAUAAGAUCAAGUCCCUCGGGUUGUACUCAAAUGCAAAUGGCAUGACUGUCACUUCCUUUGCAGGCACUUCUAUUGGGCAUAAUCAACCCCCAACUCUGAAACUCACACCUGGCCCUUCUUCUGACCUCAGGAAAUUACCAGCCAGAAGUCCUUAGCCUCAGGGCUCAGACAAGAGCUCAGAAAGAAGGAAUAGAGAGUAGAUUUGCAUUCAAUGCUCCUCCCUUCUUGAGCUGCAAGAAAAGAGGAUAAGACUGGAGCUUGAAGAGGCCAGUGCAGCUGGGCAGCCUCAAGGCAGAGCUCCUGGAAGCCUCCACCAUGGACUGGGUUUCCUUCUACCUCCUGCCCCUCAUCUUCUCCACAGGUCUCUGUGCUCCUCCUGUGCUGACCCAAGCCUCAUCUGCAUCUGCCUCCCUGGGAGCCUCAGUCAAGCUCACCUGCACCCUGAGCAGUGCGCACAGCACCUACUAUAUUGAGUGGUAUCAACAGACACCAGGGAAGGCCCCUGGAUAUGUGAUGAAGCUUAAAAUGACGGAAGCCACAGCAAGGGGGAUGGGAUACCUGACCGCUUCUCAGGCUCCAGCGCUGGGGCUGACCGCUACUUGACCAUCUCCAGUAUCCAAUCUGAGGAUGAGGCUGAGUAUUACUGUGGUGUAAACUAUAAAAUUGAUAACCAAGUUGGGUAAGCCACAGUGACACAGACAAAGGGGAAGUGAGGCCAAAACCUCCCCCUCCCUCUUCCCCAUGGUGACUCAGGGUGAGCUAGUCCCUGUUCCUCUCCAGGACCCUGAGAUGUUUGACUCUUCUU